AGCAUGUCAAUCACUGGAACAAAGAUGAUGAAGAACAUUUGUUGAUGGGGUUAAGUUCUCUUCUUUGUGCCCCCCCCGCAAUUGGGAAAAGUCAGAGGAACAACAAAAGGAAUAAUCACUUCGUAUGUUCUCUCCUAAAAGCAUCCAUCGUACCAUCACACAAGUAUUAAUCGACACUUGUCCUCUAUUUAAAUUAUUUUUCAUUUUCAUUCAAACAUUAAAGCACUUGUGGUACAACAGUUAAAGACUUGCAUUUUUAUUGAAUUAUAAUUGAAUAAAGUGCACUUCCUUAAGGAAAAAAAAUUACAGUUGUGUCAACCAAAAUAUUUGUACACAUUAGUUCAUUUGGAGUUUGCAUAUCUGCAAAAGCCACUUGCAACAAAGGCGAGACCAUGUGUGAAAACUGGGUGAGCUACCAUAUGGCAUCGAGUGACCCACUUUUGUUUCUCUUUUUUUUUUACCCAUAAUCCACCCCUAUCACAUAAUUAGUACUCCUCUUCGAGAUCGUCGUCCAGGUCAGAAAAGUCAAUAGAUGGUCUGUUGUCUCGCGUUUCCUCGUCCCCUUCCCCAUGGGGAACUGCAAUCCAGACACAUCAAGUCAAAUUAUGUAGCCACGUAAUAAAUAUAACAAU